CCCUUAGAUGUUCUGGGCAGCACGCGCGCUACAAUGGUCUUCGCAAACGGAUGCAUUCUCGAAGGAGAAUGCCAAUCUUGGAAUCUAUGCCUUGGUCGGGACAGUUGCUUGCAAUUUUUCGACUCGAACCAGGAAUUCCUUGUAAUCGUGAUUCAUCACAUCACCAUGAAUACGUCCCUGCCCUUUGUACACACCGCCCGUCGCUCCUACCGAUCGAAGAGUUAGGUGAAUUGUUUUGAUCGAUAAGAUUUGACUAUGGUCAACUCUCGUUGUGAAAUUCUGUGAAUCUGACUGUUUAGAGGAAGGAAAAGUCGUAACA
rnacentral:rRNA from 1 species